rnacentral:lncRNA from 1 species
ACACAGAACACUUUCCUUUGUGACCUCGACCGAUCGAAGCAUGCGUACCUAACCCCCCCAACAACAUAAACACCAGUGAAAAACAAGAUGUGCCUCCACAGCCAACGCAGCGAAAGAUACAAGGAGGUUUCGAAUUGGUGGAGGAAUAUUGUUCCAACACUUGGAUGCUGCAUAUCUAAAGCUGCCUCUAAAUGCAACAGAGCGAUGCUGGGGUGUUGCAAGUUGGAUCGCACAGCUCCUGGCACCACAUCUCUUAUUUUUUCUCACCCAUUCCAAUUUGUCAUACAGAUAGGAGGGGGCUUUGUGAUUCAAAAUGCCAAACAAGAGACAAGCAAGGUGCAG